AGGCCCACUAAUUGAAAGUAAACAGACCACUGGGGAACACCACACAAAUUUGAUGGGCUGGAAAGUCCAGCAGCCGACAUGGCGGAUGUUUAAUCUUGUCGAGUUCUGGAUCUGCAACAAGAUUAAUUAACCUAAUUACAGUAAACAGCACGGCUGGGGUUGGACGCGGUCGCCAAAACACUACAGAUCUGACGAGAAGGAAAAGGGGGAAAAAAGCCGCCUCUUCAAGCGCUCACAGAUUCCGCAGCCUCUUAGCCUCUCACAGUGACCAUGGCGACUUGAGUGAGGGGAGCGACAUUGAUGCAGAGAACAGCAAUUACUUUGAGGACAAGAACAACAAUGAAUGAGAAGAUUCAAUUUCAGACCCAGAUCAUGAUGUGACUGCUGACCUGCUAGCCAAGGCUCAGUGGAGGAGAGACAUGUUUGAGGAGGA
ensembl:lncRNA